CAGUAGCCGCGGUAACACGGAGGGUGCAAGCGUUAUCCGGAUUUAUUGGGUUUAAAGGGUCCGUAGGCGGAUCUGUAAGUCAGUGGUGAAAUCUCACAGCUUAACUGUGAAACUGCCAUUGAUACUGCAGGUCUUGAGUAAAUUUGAAGUGGCUGGAAUAAGUAGUGUAGCGGUGAAAUGCAUAGAUAUUACUUAGAACACCAAUUGCGAAGGCAGGUCACUAAGAUUUAACUGACGCUGAUGGACGAAAGCGUGGGGAGCGAACAGGAUUAGAUACCCGUGUAGUCCCUGUCUCUUAUAU
rnacentral:rRNA from 1 species